rnacentral:rRNA from 1 species
CCUACGGGUGGCAGCAGUGGGGGAUAUUGCACAAUGGGGGAAACCCUGAUGCAGCGACGCCGCGUGUGGGAAGACGGUCCUCUGGAUUGUAAACCACUGUCCCCAGGGACGAAGAUGACGGUACCUGGGGAGGAAGCUCCGGCUAACUACGUGCCAGCAGCCGCGGUAAUACGUAGGGAGCAAGCGUUGUCCGGAAUUACUGGGUGUAAAGGGAGCGUAGGCGGGAUGGCAAGUUGGGUGUUAAAUCUACCGGCUCAACUGGUAGUCGCACUCAAAACUGCUAUUCUUGAGUGAAGUAGAGGCAGGCGGAAGUCCUAGUGUAGCGGUUAAAUGCGUAGAUAGUAGGAUGAACACCAGGGGCGAAGGCGGCCUGCUGGGCUUUUACUGACGCUGAGGCUCGAAAGUGUGGGGAGCAAACAGGAUUAGAUACCCGUGUAGUC